CAAGCUCACCGUCAUCAUCCUCAUGAAGGUUGGAGUAAAAUGCUUGAAUCAAUGUAGUAUUGGUGUAAGGAUGGGUAAGAAGUAAGAAGUCAAGAAGUUGACGAUUUUUGAGCAUAUUUGCAGCAGGGCCCUAAGAUUCAAGAUACUUGUUGGUUGAAAAGCGGGGAGGAAGAAUGUCGCGCUUUUCACAUUUUGUUAAAAAUCGAGUAAGCUCGAUGUCAGAAUUAAAAUAAAGAACGGAACCAUCUUUGUAUGGAUAGUUUGGAGCAGUAGAGGAGGAUGCACCAUGCCUAGCAGAACGGGAACGUUUAGAGUGACGGCCCGACAUUUUAACUA
rnacentral:lncRNA from 1 species